GCAGAUAUGGCCGAGUGGUUAAGGCGACUGACUCGAUAUCAGUUUCCAUCUUGGAGCGUAGGUUCGAAUCCUACUAUCUGCG
rnacentral:tRNA from 1 species